GUAAUAUCCCGACUGGUUUAUCAAUAGGUAAUGUCCCGACGAGUUUCUCAACAGGCAAUGUCCCGACUGGUUUCUCGAUGGGCAAUGUCCCAACUAGCUUCUCAAUAGGUAAUAUCCUGACUGCUUUAUUAAUAGGUAAUGUCCCAACUGGUUUCUCAAUAGGUAAUGUCCUGACUGGUUUCUCAAUAGGUAAUAUCCCAACUAGUUUCUCAUGGGUGAGUACACCAGUGGGGGUGCAUUCAACACUCUGCAACUCUGUUAAAUGCCACCACAUUUAAACAUCCCG
rnacentral:lncRNA from 1 species